rnacentral:rRNA from 1 species
AGAGUUUGAUCCUGGCUCAGGACGAACGCUGGCGGCGUGCUUAACACAUGCAAGUCGAACGGGGCCAUAGGAGAGCUUGCUCGAAUAUGGCCAAGUGGCGGACGGGUGAGUAACGCGUGAGGAACCUGUCUUCAUCAGGGGGAUAACGUCCCGAAAGGGAUGCUAAUACCGCAUAAGACCACAAUGCCGCAUGGCAUAGAGGUCAAAGGAGGAAUCCGGAUGAAGGUGGCCUCGCGUCCCAUUAGGCAGUUGGCGGGGUAACGGCCCACCAAACCGACGAUGGGUAGCCGACCUGAGAGGGUGAUCGGCCACAUUGGAACUGAGAGACGGUCCAAACUCCUACGGGAGGCAGCAGUGGGGAAUAUUGGGCAAUGGGCGAAAGCCUGACCCAGCAACGCCGCGUGAGGGAAGAAGGUUUUCGGAUUGUAAACCUCUGUCCUUCAAGACGAGGAGGAGACGGUAUUGAAGGAGGAAGCCCCGGCUAACUACGUGCCAGCAGCCGCGGUAAUACGUAGGGGGCGAGCGUUGUCCGGAAUGAUUGGGCGUAAAGGGCGUGUAGGCGGUUCAUUAAGUCUGAAGUGAAAGUCCUUUUUUCAAGGGAGGAAUUGCUUUGGAUACUGGAGAACUAGAGUGCAGGAGAGGUUAUCGGAAUUCCCGGUGUAGCGGUGAAAUGCGUAGAGAUCGGGAGGAACACCAGUGGCGAAGGCGGGUAACUGGACUGCAACUGACGCUGAGGCGCGAAAGUGUGGGGAGCAAACAGGAUUAGAUACCCUGGUAGUCCACACUGUAAACGAUGAAUGCUAGGUGUAGGAGGUAUCGACCCCUUCUGUGCCGGAGUCAACACAAUAAGCAUUCCGCCUGGGGAGUACGGCCGCAAGGUUGAAACUCAAAGGAAUUGACGGGGGCCCGCACAAGCAGCGGAGCAUGUGGUUUAAUUCGACGCAACGCGAAGAACCUUACCAGGUCUUGACAUCCAUCUAAAGCUGAAGAGAUUCAGUGUGAGCUUGCUCGAGAUGAGACAGGUGGUGCAUGGUUGUCGUCAGCUCGUGUCGUGAGAUGUUGGGUUAAGUCCCGCAACGAGCGCAACCCUUGCCUGCAGUUGCUAACACGCGAAGGUGAGAACUCUGCAGGGACUGCCGGGGACAACUCGGAGGAAGGUGGGGACGACGUCAAAUCAUCAUGCCCCUUAUGACCUGGGCUACACACGUGCUACAAUGGCCGUAACAAAGAGGAGCGAGCCCGAGAGGGUAAGCGGAUCUCAAAAAAGCGGUCUCAGUUCGGAUUGUGGGCUGCAACCCGCCCACAUGAAGUCGGAGUUGCUAGUAAUCGCGGAUCAGCAUGCCGCGGUGAAUACGUUCCCGGGCCUUGUACACACCGCCCGUCACACCAUGGGAGUUGAUAGCACCCAAAAUAUGUGAGGUAACCGCAAGGAGCCAGCAUCCUAAGGUGAGAUCAAUGACUGGGGUGAAGUCGUAACAAGGUAACC